rnacentral:rRNA from 1 species
UACGAAGGGGGCUAGCGUUGCUCGGAAUCACUGGGCGUAAAGGGUGCGUAGGCGGAUUGCUAAGUCAGGGGUGAAAUCCUGGAGCUCAACUCCAGAACUGCCCUUGAUACUGGCGGUCUCGAGUCCGGGAGAGGUGAGUGGAACUGCGAGUGUAGAGGUGAAAUUCGUAGAUAUUCGCAAGAACACCAGUGGCGAAGGCGGCUCACUGGCCCGAUACUGACGCUGAGGUGCGAAAGCGUGGGGAGCAAACAGG